GGAAGGAAGGAGUACAGGCAGACAGGCCACCCCACCUCAACUUCAGGCUUCUACUGUAGAGCUCCCUGUUCCUUUUUGAAGCCAGCAGAAGCAGGCACAACACCUCUAAAAAGGGGGAAGGAAGGAGCACAGGCAGGCAGAGAGGCCAGCCCACCUCACCUUCAGGCUUCUACUGUAGAGCUCCCCUGUUCCUUUUUGAAGAAGCAGAAGCAGCACAACUCCUCUAAAAAGCUACUGAUGGCUACUCUAUGAUUGUGAGAACAGCGCAAAGAGGUAUCAGAUGAUAUUUUUAUAUCUGUUUGUACGUCGAGAAGUGUCAUUUCAUGAAUUUAUUUGUGCUUU